CUGAGACACGGCCCAGACUCCUACGGGAGGCAGCAGUGGGGAAUAUUGGACAAUGGGCGCAAGCCUGAUCCAGCCAUGCCGCGUGUGUGAAGAAGGCCUUUUGGUUGUAAAGCACUUUAAGCGAGGAGGAGGCUCCUUUAGUUAAUACCUAAAGUGAGUGGACGUUACUCGCAGAAUAAGCACCGGCUAACUCUGUGCCAGCAGCCGCGGUAAUACAGAGGGUGCGAGCGUUAAUCGGAUUUACUGGGCGUAAAGCGUGCGUAGGCGGCUUUUUAAGUCGGAUGUGAAAUCCCUGAGCUUAACUUAGGAAUUGCAUUCGAUACUGGAAAGCUAGAGUAUGGGAGAGGAUGGUAGAAUUCCAGGUGUAGCGGUGAAAUGCGUAGAGAUCUNGGNAGGAAUACCNAUGGCGAAGGCANGCCAUCUGGCCUAAUACUGACGCUGAGGUACGAAAGCAUGGGGAGCAAACAGGAUUAGAUACCCUGGUAGUCCAUCCCGUAAACGAUGUCUACUACCCGUUGGGGCCUUUGAGGCUUUAGUGGCGCAGCUAACGCGAUAAGUAGACCGCCUGGGGAGUACGGNUCGCAAGACUAAAACUCAAAUGAAUUGACGGGGGCCCGCACAAGCGGUGGAGCAUGUGGUUUAAUUCGAUGCAACGCGAAGAACCUUACCUGGCCUUGACAUACUAAGAACUUUCCAGAGAUGGAUUGGUGCCUUCGGGAACUUAGAUACAGGUGCUGCAUGGCUGUCGUCAGCUCGUGUCGUGAGAUGUUGGGUUAAGUCCCGCAACGAGCGCAACCCUUUUUCUUAUUUGCCAGCGGGUCAUGCCGGGAACUUUAAGGAUACUGCCAGUGACAAACUGGAGGAAGGCGGGGACGACGUCAAGUCAUCAUGGCCCUUACGGCCAGGGCUACACACGUGCUACAAUGGUCGGUACAAAGGGUUGCUACCUCGCGAGAGGAUGCUAAUCUCAAAAAGCCGAUCGUAGUCCGGAUCGCAGUCUGCAACUCGACUGCGUGAAGUCGGAAUCGCUAGUAAUCGCGGAUCAGAAUGCCGCGGUGAAUAC
rnacentral:rRNA from 1 species